CCGGGCCCGACCGUCAUGGAGCGGUGCGGGGCCUACGCCUGUUCCGUGUGAGGCGCGUCGCUGCCGCCGCCGCCGCCGGCGCCGCCUUCGUUUGUCGAGGCCUCCGGAACCCCCGCCGCCUCCCGGAGCCCCUCGCCCUUGGCAGCCUGUCACCGCCCCCUGGGCGGGCUCGAAUGCGCGUCCGGUGAAGGUGCAGGCCCGGCGCCGCCACUGCCGCAGCCAGGAGAUGGUUCGGGCCUAGCGGAGCCGGGACUGGAGCAACAUGAACCGUGAAGACCGGAAUGUGCUGCGUAUGAAAGAACGGGAAAGGCGGAAUCAGGAAAUUCAGCAGGGCGAAGACGCCUUCCCACCUAGCUCUCCUCUCUUUGCAGAGCCAUACAAAGUUACUAGCAAAGAAGAUAAGUUAUCAAGUCGUAUUCAGAGUAUGCUUGGAAACUACGAUGAAAUGAAGGAUUUCAUAGGAGACAGAUCUAUACCAAAGCUUGUUGCAAUUCCCAAGCCUACAGUACCACCAUCAGCAGAUGAAAAAUCUAACCCAAAUUUCUUUGAGCAGAGACAUGGAGGCUCUCAUCAGAGUAGCAAAUGGACUCCAGUAGGACCUGCACCCAGCACUUCUCAGUCUCAGAAACGGUCCUCAGGCUUACAGAGUGGACAUAGUAGCCAGCGGACCAGUGCAGGUAGCAGUAGUGGCACUAACAGUAGUGGUCAGAGGCACGACCGUGAGUCAUAUAACAGUAGUGGGAGCAGUAGCCGGAAAAAAGGCCAGCAUGGAUCAGAACACUCCAAAUCACGUUCUUCCAGCCCUGGAAAACCCCAGGCUGUUUCUUCAUUAAGUUCUAGUCAUUCCAGGUCUCACGGGAAUGAUCACCAUAGCAAGGAACAUCAACGCUCCAAAUCACCUCGGGACCCUGAUGCAAACUGGGAUUCUCCUUCCCGUGUACCUUUUUCAAGUGGGCAGCACUCAACUCAAUCUUUCCCACCCUCAUUGAUGUCAAAGUCCAAUUCAAUGUUACAGAAACCCACUGCCUAUGUGCGGCCCAUGGACGGACAGGAGUCCAUGGAACCAAAGCUGUCCUCUGAGCACUACAGCAGCCAAUCCCAUGGCAACAGCAUGACUGAGCUGAAGCCCAGCAGCAAAGCACAUCUCACCAAGCUGAAAAUACCUUCCCAACCACUGGAUGCAUCAGCUUCUGGUGAUGUGAGCUGUGUGGAUGAAAUCUUAAAAGAGAUGACGCAUUCAUGGCCACCCCCUCUAACGGCUAUUCAUACACCAUGCAAAACAGAACCUUCCAAAUUUCCUUUUCCAACUAAGGUAAGUAAAUAAAAUGUAUCUUUCAUAAUGUAAGAAAACUCUAAAUGGCUUGACUAAAAUCAUAUGGAUUAAAAAUUGUCUUGCCAUUCCUAUUCUAGUGGGAGACAGACAGUAAAUGAGUGAAUAAAUAAAUUCAGAUAGUGACAACUGUUAUGAAGAUAAUUAGCAGGGUAAUGGAAUUGAGAGCAUCUUGAAUCAAGAGGUAUUUAAGAACGCUUUGAAGGCAAUAUGCGAGAGAGAUUUAAAAGACAUUAAUAUAGCCUGACAAAGUGGCUCACGCCUGUAAUCCCAGCACUUUGGAAGGCUGAGGCAAGAGACUCUCUUGAGGCCAGGAGUUGGCGACCAGCCUGGUCAACAUAGCAAGACCCUGUCUCUACCAAAAAUUGAAAAAAAAAAAAAAAAAAAA
rnacentral:sRNA from 1 species